rnacentral:tRNA from 1 species
GGGGCUAUAGCUCAGAUGGUUAGAGCGCAUCCCUGAUAAGGAUGAGGCCACAGGUUCAAGUCCUGUUAGCCCCAC